UACGAAGGGGGCUAGCGUUGCUCGGAAUCAUUGGGCGUAAAGAGCGUGUAGGCGGUCCGGUAAGUCGGCUGUGAAAACUCGAGGCUCAACCUCGAGACGUCGGCGGAAACCAUCUGGCUAGAGUCCGGAAGAGGAGAGUGGAAUUCCUGGUGUAGCGGUGAAAUGCGCAGAUAUCAGGAAGAACACCCGUGGCGAAGGCGGCUCUCUGGGACGGUACUGACGCUGAGACGCGAAAGCGUGGGGAGCGAACAGG
rnacentral:rRNA from 1 species